rnacentral:rRNA from 1 species
AUGGUAGUAGUACAAGGUCGUUACGAAGAGGUACUUGGCGUUUUUGCAGCCCGGGUGUUCGGCGACGGUAGUUGUUCACUUGACUGUGGUAGACGAAUUUGGCGGUCCAGGGUACUUGGCGUCCAUGUAGUCGAACUUGAGGGGUCUCGACAUCGUGGUACUUGGCACAAUCUGUAUAGUCAUGCACUUGUCGUCGAGGGGCUUGACGGUCUUAGACAAAACGAAGGGGUACUUUGUAGUUGUUGUAGGGUGGCCUUCGGUGGACUUGGUGGAAACCCUUGUGUGUGCAGGAGGCAUACGACUCCAAAACGCCCACGGCCGUGUGGAAGACCGCGGAGCUCCUGUUACGGGGAGGGUUCGUGGCGACGGCAGGACGCGAAGGAGGGCGGCAGAGGCGACGGACGGAGCAGAGGGGCCAAGACCAUGGCGCAAGGAGGAGAAGCAGGGCCAGGUGCGUGUCUAGGCGAGGAGCUCCUGGUCACAGCGGCGCGGCACCGGAGCAUGGGCUCACCGGCCGGAGCGGCAUGCGGCCACAGAGGAUAG